rnacentral:rRNA from 1 species
GAUGAACGCUGGCGGCGUGCCUAAUACAUGCAAGUCGAGCGAAUUGACAGAGGUGCUUGCACCUCUCGAUUUUAGCGGCGGACGGGUGAGUAACACGUGGGUAACCUACCUAUAAGACUGGGAUAACUUCGGGAAACCGGAGCUAAUACCGGAUAAUAUUUAGCUUCGCAUGAAGCAAUAGUGAAAGACGGUUCUGCUGUCACUUAUAGAUGGACCUGCGGUGUAUUAGCUAGUUGGUGAGGUAACGGCUCACCAAGGCAACGAUACAUAGCCGACCUGAGCGGGUGAUCGGCCACACUGGGACUGAGACACGGCCCAGACUCCUACGGGAGGCAGCAGUAGGGAAUCUUCCGCAAUGGACGAAAGUCUGGCGGAGCAACGCCGCGUGAGUGAAGAAGGUUUUCGGAUCGUAAAACUCUGUUGUAAGGGAAGAACAAGUACGUUAGUAACUGAACGUACCUUGACGGUACCUUACCAGAAAGCCACGGCUAACUACGUGCCAGCCGCCGCCGUAAGAC